rnacentral:rRNA from 1 species
AGAGUUUGAUCAUGGCUCAGAUUGAACGCUGGCGGCAGGCCUAACACAUGCAAGUCGAGCGGUAGCACAGAGAGCUUGCUCUCGGGUGACGAGCGGCGGACGGGUGAGUAAUGUCUGGGAAACUGCCUGAUGGAGGGGGAUAACUACUGGAAACGGUAGCUAAUACCGCAUAAUGUCGCAAGACCAAAGUGGGGGACCUUCGGGCCUCAUGCCAUCAGAUGUGCCCAGAUGGGAUUAGCUAGUAGGUGGGGUAACGGCUCACCUAGGCGACGAUCCCUAGCUGGUCUGAGAGGAUGACCAGCCACACUGGAACUGAGACACGGUCCAGACUCCUACGGGAGGCAGCAGUGGGGAAUAUUGCACAAUGGGCGCAAGCCUGAUGCAGCCAUGCCGCGUGUGUGAAGAAGGCCUUCGGGUUGUAAAGCACUUUCAGCGGGGAGGAAGGCGGUGAGGUUAAUAACCUCAUCGAUUGACGUUACCCGCAGAAGAAGCACCGGCUAACUCCGUGCCAGCAGCCGCGGUAAUACGGAGGGUGCAAGCGUUAAUCGGAAUUACUGGGCGUAAAGCGCACGCAGGCGGUCUGUCAAGUCGGAUGUGAAAUCCCCGGGCUCAACCUGGGAACUGCAUUCGAAACUGGCAGGCUAGAGUCUUGUAGAGGGGGGUAGAAUUCCAGGUGUAGCGGUGAAAUGCGUAGAGAUCUGGAGGAAUACCGGUGGCGAAGGCGGCCCCCUGGACAAAGACUGACGCUCAGGUGCGAAAGCGUGGGGAGCAAACAGGAUUAGAUACCCUGGUAGUCCACGCCGUAAACGAUGUCGAUUUGGAGGUUGUGCCCUUGAGGCGUGGCUUCCGGAGCUAACGCGUUAAAUCGACCGCCUGGGGAGUACGGCCGCAAGGUUAAAACUCAAAUGAAUUGACGGGGGCCCGCACAAGCGGUGGAGCAUGUGGUUUAAUUCGAU